rnacentral:rRNA from 1 species
CCUACGGGAGGCAGCAGUGAGGAAUAUUGGUCAAUGGACGAGAGUCUGAACCAGCCAAGUAGCGUGAAGGAUGACUGCCCUAUGGGUUGUAAACUUCUUUUAUAUGGGAAUAAAACGUUCCACGUGUGGGAUUUUGUAUGUACCAUAUGAAUAAGGAUCGGCUAACUCCGAGCCAGCAGCCGCGGUAAUACGGAGGAUCCGAGCGUUAUCCGGAUUUAUUGGGUUUAAAGGGAGCGUAGGUGGAUUGUUAAGUCAGUUGUGAAAGUUUGCGGCUCAACCGUAAAAUUGCAGUUGAAACUGGCAGUCUUGAGUACAGUAGAGGUGGGCGGAAUUCGUGGUGUAGCGGUGAAAUGCUUAGAUAUCACGAAGAACUCCGAUUGCGAAGGCAGUUCACUGGACUGCAACUGACACUGAGGCUCGAAAGUGUGGGUAUCAAACAGGAUUAGAUACCCGAGUAGUC